AUUGAACGCUGGCGGCAGGCCUAACACAUGCAAGUCGAGCGCGCGGCGGACGGGUGAGUAUUGUCUGGGAAGCUGUCCGCGGGAGGGGGGUAACUCCUGGAAACGCUAGCUAAUACCCCAUACCCUCUGAUGUGACCCGAUGGGAUUAGCUAGUAGGUGGGGUAACGGCUCACCUAUGCGACGAUCCCUAGCUGGUCUGAGAGGAGGACCAGCCACACUGGAACUGAGACACGGCCCAGACUCCUACGGGAGGCAGCAGUGGGGAAUAUUGCACAAUGGGCGCAAGCCUGAUGCAGCCAUGCCGCGUGUGUGAAGAAGGCCUUCGGGUUGUAAAGCACUUUCAGCGGGGAGGCGUUACCCGCAGAAGAAGCACCGGCUAACUCCGUGCCAGCAGCCGAGGUAAUAC
rnacentral:rRNA from 1 species